UACAGAGGUCCCAAGCGUUGUUCGGCUUCACUGGGCGUAAAGGGUGCGUAGGCGGUCGGGUAAGUCUGAUGUGAAAUCUCACAGCUUAACUGUGAAACUGCAUUGGAUACUAUCCGGCUCGAGGAAUGGAGGGGAGACUGGAAUACUUGGUGUAGCAGUGAAAUGCGUAGAUAUCAAGUGGAACACCAGUGGCGAAGGCGACUCACUGGACACGUAUUGACGCUGAGGUGCGAAAGCGUGGGGAGCAAACAGG
rnacentral:rRNA from 1 species